ensembl:lncRNA
CCGACCGCAUACGCAAACCCAGACGGAUAGUCCAAUACUUUCAUAUUUGUACCUGUAAUCCUUUCUUUUGAACUUCUGGAAAGUCAACCGGACUGUUGGAAUAAAUGCUCAACCAGAAUUCUACUCUCCGUGCGUGCUUCUUUAGAAUGUGUAUCGGGAGAACAAACACACACACACUUAUAUCACAAUCAGAGUGAAAUGCCAGAAUAGUUAAUGUGACGUGUAGUUCAGCUUAAAUGUGUUAUUAACAAUAAGGAGCGACACACAACUAAACACAAGAUUGUCUCAGACUCAUUUUAAUAUUGCCAUAACCCGCCUUAAAAUAAACAUACAAGAUCCUAUAAUCAGGCACCCAUAAGAUCCCAAGAGACAUACAUAUUGAUUGAACACAGCUGCAGAUUAAUGCUAUCAACUGAUUGCCAUUACAUGAUACAGACAUUAAAAUACUUGCAAUUUCCCAACCCACUAUAUUGGCAUCGGCUGUAUUUGAUAUAUAUUGAUAUAUAUAUAUAUUGAUCGAUUCAUGGAACCUCUUCUGCUGCAGACGGGUGAAGCGGGGUCAUCAUACCCGGGAGGAGAACCCGGACAUGGUGAGGGUGAGACAUGGAGAGGGUGAGACCUUGAGAGGGUGAGACAUUGAGAGGUCCCCAGAGUUCAGAGAGGAGAAGAGAGGGAGAGGGAGAGGGAGAGGGAGAGGGAGAGAGGAGAGGGAGAGAGGAGAGGAGCCCAGAAGAGAGGAGCCCAGAGGAGAGAGGAGAGAGGGAAGGAGCCCAGAGGAGAGGAGGAGAGGAGGAGAGAGGAGAGGGAGCCCAGAGGAGAGAGGAGAGAGGGAAGGAGCCCAGAGGAGAGAGGAGAGAGGGAAGGAGCCCAGAGGAGAGAGGAGAGAGGAGAGGAGCCCAGAAGAGAGGAGCCCAGAGGAGAGAGGGAAGGAGCCCAGAGGAGAGAGGAGAGAGGGAAGGAGCCCAGAGGAGAGAGGAGAGGAGGAGAGAGGAGAGGAGCCCAGAGGAGAGAGGGGAGAAGGCUCUCCUCUGCAGGGAGGAAUGAUGUCUUAUUGUGUCUUAGAGCGACCCAGGGCCCCCAGACUGACAGCAGAGCAUCACCGCCAUCAGGCGGCAGAAAGGAACCAGCAGAGCUCCUGCACCUCCGCUGAUCCUCGUAGAGGUUAAGUAGAGGCGUCAGAACAAGAUACUACAGUUUACUGCUACAAUGACUCAGAGCUGCGAUUGGUGCACAGACCCGCCAAUCACCCAUCUCAAGAGGUCCUCCGCUGCACACAAACAGAUUGCAUCAUGGGUUGUUCCACACAUAGGUUAGAUGUUCUGUUUGAUUAUGGACUGCACUAGGUCCCUCACUAGGUCCCUCACUAGGUUCUAGGUCCCUCACUAGGUCCUUCACUAGGUCCCUCCUCUAGAGCGUUGAGAUGGCUCUGUGACUCGAUGAGUCGUCUCCUUGGUGACACCAACACUAAUCCCUCAUUAUGGGAUGGAGUGGUUCCCCCCUCAUAUCUCCUCCAUACAGGGCCAUUUACUGUGAUCUGGGAGAUUAGAUUAAUCCUAUUAAACGCUCAAUUUGGGAAGUUAUUCAAGCCACCUUUUUCAGCUCCUGGUUGACAGCUUUGCCGCCCACGUAUACAUGAAGAGUUACAUGAACAUCGUUAUAAUAUAAGACCUCUUUGCCGGAGAUCAACAUGAAAAAAAGAGAUAGAAAAAUAAGCACAAAGACUGUCUGCUAGUGUUCUCGUCUAGGUUUCAAGUGCAAAUAAGCAGCGCGUUAUCCCAACCCAGCUGAAACGCCUCUAAAGGAGGGAUGCCUUUUGUCGUUAAGCUUCUACACAAACAACUCAAUCGUCUUAGCAGAAAGGACGCUGAAGUCACGAUGUCGCUCUCUCCUGUCUUACACACUGAACAGCCACGAUGACGCUCUCUCCUGUCUUACACACUGAACAGGAUUCACUCUGACGGACACAUUCUUAAAGCAAGGCAUUGGAGUGUGUGUGUGUGUGUGUGUGUGUGUGUGUGUGUGUGUGUGUGUGUGUGUGUGUGUGUGUGUGUGUGUGUGUGUGUGUGUGUGUGUGUGUGUGUGUGUGUGUGUGUGUGUGUGUGUGUGUCUCGUUCGUUAUCCUCUUUCUCUUCACUCAUGCAUGGCGCUUUCUUUUCAGAGAUUCCAGCUGAAACGGGCAGAAAGGAACGGAUAGUGUGAGUGAUAUUAAGAGUGAGAUUCGAUAUCAAUCGACCAACCAACAGCCUCCAUUACCUCCACCUCAACCAACUUCAGCCGGCCCAGGGCCUCUUUGGCAGCCUCCUGGAGCAGGAACAGAGGCAGAAGGGUCACACACACACACACACUCACACACACACACACACACACACACACUCCUGAACACGGACUCACCCGGUUCCCUUGGCUGGAGAACUUCUUCACUGAGUCACCAAGGCCCUGAACGAACCGGCCCAACACAGCCUGGUAGUCUGGAGGAGGAGGAGGUCACUGCCAUUAGGAAGGUUUAACAUUGCAGUAUACCUCAUCUCACUGGAACAACACUUGUU